rnacentral:tRNA from 1 species
UAUUAAAAAAUAAAAUGUUAUCAUAAAUUUUCAAUUUAGUGCAAUAU